GGCCGGUUCUUAAGCAGCGGCGCGCGGGGCGGGCGCCGAGUGUCGGGCGCGGCGGCGGCAGGAGGCGGCAGGCUGCUGUGCGCUCUGAAGGGCUUUCCUCUGCCUCCAGGUCCGGAGAGCGGUCUCAGCUGCUGCGGCAGAGUCGUGUUUCCAGGGGACUGAGGAAAACCCGUCAGGAACCGAAAAUGCCGAAACCAAUGAAGGAAGGCUGCCCUGCUCUCUGGUCGUGCGCUCCUGGUCCACAUCAUAAAUACCAGCUGACUCAAGGGCCUGCACCUCUGUCCCUUACAUCUGAUUAUGUUGCUCUCAGGGUUCGACUGCUGGCCAGGCCUGGGGGGGAUACGCUUUCAUUUAAGUGGUGGGAACAAGGCAGGUUCUUUGUGACCAGCAUUUCUUGGAAAGUUGUAUAUAUUUACCUGCUUUGACACAGGUGAACUGUGACUCGAUGUUGGGGAGAGGAUUUCACAUUUUUUAAUUGUUCUGAAUCAUGAUGGAGAAGAUACCUGGAUUCAUUAAAAAUUGCAAUAAAAGACAUACGGAAUUCUAGUUUUUCAAACAA